AGUGAACGCUGGCGGUAGGCCUAACACAUGCAAGUCGAACGGCAGCACAGUAAGAGCUUGCUCUUACGGGUGACGAGUGGCGGACGGGUGAGGAAUACAUCGGAAUCUACUUUUUCGUGGGGGAUAACGUAGGGAAACUUACGCAAAUACCGCAUACGACUUACGGGAGAAAUAAGGGCAUUUUGGGACCUUUCGGUAUUAAUUGCGCCUUUGUCGGAUUACAUAUUUGCCGGGCUACAGGCGCUCCAAGGCGACGAUCCGUGGCUGGUAUGAGAGGAUGAUCAGCCACACUGGAACUGAGACACGGUCCAGACUCCUACGGGAGGCAGCCGUGGGGAAUAUUGGACAAUGGGCGCAAGACUGAUCCAGCCAUACCGCGUGGGUGAAGAAGGCCUUCGGGUUGUAAAGCCCUUUUGUUGGGAAAGAAAAGCAGCAGGUUAAUACCCCGCUAUUCUGACGGUACCCAAAGAAUAAGCACCGGCUAACUUCGUG
rnacentral:rRNA from 1 species